ACCCUACUACACAUGGGUUACUACAGGUAAUAACCCUACUACACAUGGGUUACUACAGGUAAUAACCCUACUACACAUGGGUUACUACAGGUAAUAACCCUACUACCCAUGGGUUACUACAGGUAAUAACCCUACUACCCAUGGGUUACUACAGGUAAUAACCCUGCUACACAUGGGUUACUACAGGUAAUAACCCUACUACACAUGGGUUACUACAGGUAAUAACCCUACUGCAAGGGACUGGAGACAGCCUGCUACACAUGGGUUACUACAGAGAUAGUCCGGACUCCCUGCCCGUGUUCCUAGGGGAGAAUGAAGCCAAGAAGGACUGUACCAUCACGCAGAUGGGGGAC